GAUGAACGCUGGCGGCGUGCUUAACACAUGCAAGUCGAACGGAAAGGCCCAAGCUUGCUUGGGUACUCGAGUGGCGAACGGGUGAGUAACACGUGGGUGAUCUGCCCUGCACUUCGGGAUAAGCCUGGGAAACUGGGUCUAAUACCGGAUAGGACCACUUCUUGGAUGUUGUGGUGGAAAGUUUUUUCGGUGUGGGAUGAGCUCGCGGCCUAUCAGCUUGUUGGUGGGGUAAUGGCCUACCAAGGCGUCGACGGGUAGCCGGCCUGUGAGGGUGUACGGCCACAUUGGGACUGAGAUACGGCCCAGACACCGACGGGAGGCAGCAGUGGGGAAUAUUGCACAAGGGGCGCAAGCCUGAUGCAGCGACGCCGCGUGGGGGAUGACGGCCUUCGGGUUGUAAACUCCUUUCGCUAGGGACGAAGCGUUUUGUGACGGUACCUGGAGAAGAAGCACCGGCUAACUACGUG
rnacentral:rRNA from 1 species